UACGUAGGGUGCAAGCGUUAAUCGGAAUUACUGGGCGUAAAGCGUGCGCAGGCGGUCUUGUAAGACAGAGGUGAAAUCCCCGGGCUCAACCUGGGAACUGCCUUUGUGACUGCAAGGCUUGAGUACGGUAGAGGGGGAUGGAAUUCCGCGUGUAGCAGUGAAAUGCGUAGAUAUGCGGAGGAACACCGAUGGCGAAGGCAAUCCCCUGGACCUGUACUGACGCUCAUGCACGAAAGCGUGAGGAGCAAACAGG
rnacentral:rRNA from 1 species